AGGUUCGAUCAUACCAGCACUAAUGCACCAGAUCCCAUCAGAACUCCGCAGUUAAGCGGGCUUGGGCGAGAGUAGUACUAGGAUGGGUGACCUCCUGGGAAGUCCUCGUGUUGCAUUGU
rnacentral:rRNA from 2 species